rnacentral:rRNA from 1 species
AUUGAACGCUAGCGGGAUGCUUUACACAUGCAAGUCGAACGAGUGGCGGACGGGUGAGUAAUAUAUCGGAACGUGCCCAGUAGCGGGGGAUAACUACUCGAAAGAGUGGAUAAUACCGCAUACUAUUGGAGCGGUGGAUAUCGGAUUAGCUAGUUGGUGGGGUAAAGGCUCACCAAGGCAACGAUCCGUAGCUGGUUUGAGUGGAAGACAGGCCACACUGAGACGGACACAGGGCCGAGACUCCUGCGGGAGGGAGGAGGGGGGAAUUUUGAACGUUGGAGGAAACCCUGAUCCAGCCAUCCCGCGUGUAUGAGAAGGCCUUCGGGUUGUAAAGUACUUUUGGCAGAGAAACGUUAUCUGCAGAAUAGGCACCGGCAAACUACGGGCCAGCCGCCGGGUAAUUC